rnacentral:lncRNA from 1 species
CUUUGUUACAGUCUGUGUCUGAAUGUCCUUUCUGUUGUUUGCAGUGAAGCCUGAGGCCUGGCUGUCCAGUGGUCACAGCCCUGGACCUGGCCAUCUGCUGCUGGUGUGCCAUGUGUCUGGCUUCUACCCAAAGCCCGUGUGGGUGAUGUGGAUGCGAGGUGAGCAGGGGCAGCUGGGCACUCAGAGAGGUGACAUCCUGCCCAAUGCAGAUGGGACGUGGUAUCUCCAAGCAACCCUGGAUGUGGCAGCUGGGGAGGUGGCUGGCCUGGCCUGCAGGGUGA